rnacentral:rRNA from 1 species
AUACGUAGGGAGCAAGCGUUGUCCGGAUUUACUGGGUGUAAAGGGUGCGUAGGCGGCACUGCAAGUCAGGCGUGAAAGCCGGAGGCUUAACCUCCGAACUGCGUUUGAAACUGGUGGUGCUUGAGUGAAGUAGAGGUAGGCGGAAUUCCCGGUGUAGCGGUGAAAUAGCGUAGAGAUCGGGAGGAACACCAGUGGCGAAGGCGGCCUACUGGGCUUUAACUGACGCUGAGGCACGAAAGCAUGGGUAGC